GGGCGUUUCCCUUUUUUUUCCUCGCCACGCAGCCUCCCCGCCCGUAGCGCCGCCUCCCCCGCCAUCGCACAUUCUUUUUUUUCAUCGUCCUUCCAUCUGGAUCUGGAUCUUGUGCUCCCGUGCCUUGCGCGCCCGCCGCUCGCGCUCCCACCCGCAACGCACGCCGCCCGCCGCCGCGACAUCACGGGCUUGGGGCCCUCGACCCCAACGCGCGGAGCCGCUCCACCCCGACGCGUGGCCCUCGGGAUGCCGCCCCGCCGCGACGCUCGGCCCAUGGGGUGCCGGCCGCUCCGCCGCGACGUGUGGCCCCUGGGGCGCCGGCUCGGGGCUCCGCGGACGCGCGGACGCCGAGGCGAAGAGGGCCGCGACGCCGGCGCCAGGGCGUGGCUGCGCGAACUCCGGGACGUGUUGUACGAGCUCGGCGACGGCAUCGACGAUGGCGCGGCGCCCGCCGGCAGCUGGAGGGACGGAGAUCGGUAAGCCCCCUGCUCCGCCUUCCGUUCCCUUGGAUCCGGUGGGUGGGGUGAUGCGGAGAAAAUUUGAAAAGAUUGCUCGUCUCAUUAGAUGCUCGCAUGAAUGCCUGUCCUUGGCUUGAGUGUGAUUAAAAACAAAAUCUGGUUGUGUUUGCAACAAUUUUUUCAGUUGAUUUUUUGAGCAAAUGUACUGUAAAGUGUGUUGAUUGGACAAAUUGCACGGUGUUAGUGCCAUACUUUAAGGACAUAAUCUAUGCUAUUAUGUUUCAAGUAAGUAGGAAAUCAUGGUGUCACCGCCGGCAGGAUUGCGCCACCGCGCCGCCGUCCGCUGCAUUAAGGGAUUAGCACUAGGGUGGGUGUGAUUGGAUUAGAGCUGUUCUCUGGGAGAAGAAAAAGGAGGAGAUCGGAGGAGAUGGUCACAGAGAUUUAUGUCCCAGCGAGGGGACAGGGACGAACGGCACAGGAGACCCGGCCGGUCCAGCAGCUUCAGUAGCCACCGCAGAGGCGGAGUCGGCAGCACGGGCAAGGGUGGCGGGAGGGUCCUUGAGCCAGCCUCCCCUCUCAUCUAACCGCAGGUUACCUUUUGCAGAUUGAAAAACCUAGCAAACCUCCUGUAAGAGUUACUGGAGUAAUCCGAGGAAGUGAGAAGCCAAGCAUAUUUGUUCCAACGAAUGAGCCCAGUGGUGGCCAGUGAUUUUACGUGGAUGUUCCCAUGAUUGCUCGUGCUUGUGGGCUUCCUGAAAAUACUGGUUAUAUAGAAGAUAUAAACAAAGACGUCUCUCCAACAAACCUACAUCCUUUUCCAAAUGAUGGCAACACCUUGAUUAGUCACUCGGUGAUGCUAGAUGACCAUCUCAAAUACACUUUUACAUGGUAAGCACUUAACCCCAAGCUCAUCAGGCUUUGCAGAUGGAUUAUUUCAUUCUGUGUUACUUUUAUUUUUUGACUGCUGUUACCAGUGGUUUCACUCACUCAGAGAGAAAUCAGUCUGUUGCUACUCUUAUUUGGUUGUUUGGAUGGCAAUAUCUAACUUUAUUUGAUAAUUGAUAUUCAUUGCCUCUACAAAUCUACAGUAACUAUAACUUGACUUUGAGUAUGGCAGUUCAUCACUUUGAGAACCCACUACUUGAUAUAAAUUUCAAAAUCCUAAUAUUUUAAUUUGCUUAUUUCUGUCCUUCUAUUCAAGGUCGUUGUCUUUCCUUUUUUUUUCUUGAUAAAGUCUCUUCUUUAGGGACAGUAAGCUUGCUGUAAGGUUUUCCAUUUAUUUUUCUAUGAAGCAGUUUUUGCUGCUAAUAACAUUCUCUCUACCCAUGGUCAAAAGAAUUAUGGCUAAAUGUUUGAUCUUAUGAACAAACACGUUAAAACAACAUGUUUGUUCACAAGAGUACAAGCCAUUUAUAUGCAGCAAUUCGAAUGGUUAGUUGGGACACAGUACAAGCCAUUGGAGCUGAAGUCAGACUUGGCCUCAGUUAGAAAAUCACCUCCGUGGGCCAUUGAUUCUUGGGGACUGGAUAAAGCCAGGAGGCAAACAGUUGUCUGGUUGGAGACUCUUCUGCGGUAAGUAUGAGGAAGUUGCCUACCUCCUCAACAAGGCCGGCAUCUCCUUCGAGCUCUCCAAGAACAAUGAUCCCAUCGCUACACUACUGCAUUCCUUUUGCAGGUUUGUUCAGCCAGGGUUCAGCUCGUUAAAGCGCAGCCAUCAAUUUGGAGAUAUUAUCUUGUUUGCUUCCUGUUAGAUUUUUUCCCAGUCUCUCGCCAUAUAAUUCUGAGCUUGUGUCCUUAUAGGAGCUAGAGCUACCAAUCACGUUUUAGCUGUGCUGAUUGACUGAUUCCCAAGUCCCAAAUUUAGUAGGUCGUUGGUUGGGAAACUGUUGUAGAUGCAACCUGUUAAUUAUUCGUGUAUUUGUUACUACCUUGAAUCCCUAAGCUAGAAGCUUGUUUUUUAUAAGAAAAUUCUUUGUUGUUGAAUUCCUUUUUGCUUUCUUGAAUUGGAUUGGCCAUUAUUAUUUCUAAAAAGCAUAUUACUAA